CCUACGGGUGGCAGCAGUGAGGAAUAUUGGUCAAUGGGGGAAACCCUGAUGCGGCGACGCCGCGUGUGGGAAGACGGUCCUCUGGAUUGUAAACCACUGUCCCCAGGGACGAAGAUGACGGUACCUGGGGAGGAAGCUCCGGCUAACUACGUGCCAGCAGCCGCGGUAAUACGUAGGGAGCGAGCGUUGUCCGGAAUUACUGGGAGUAAAGGGAGCGUAGGCGGGACUGCAAGUUGGGUGUCAAAUCUACCGGCUCAACCGGUAGCCGCACUCAAAACUGCAGUUCUUGAGUGAAGUAGAGGCAGGCGGAAUUCCUAGUGUAGCGGUGAAAUGCGUAGAUAUUAGGAGGAACACCAGUGGCGAAGGCGGCUCACUGGACUGUAACUGACGUUGAGGCUCGAAAGCGUGGGGAGCAAACAGGAUUAGAUACCCCAGUAGUC
rnacentral:rRNA from 1 species